UUUUUUAUAGACUGGAUUUAUAUAUUUAUAACUAAAAUUAGGUUAAAUUUUUUUUUUAUAGAGUUAAAUAUUUAGAUUGAUGAAAGAUGUAUAAUAGUGACAGGGAUUAGAUACCCCAUUAAUGUACAUUGUAGCUUUGUCUUAGUUAAUAUAACUAAAAUAAUUUGGCAGUGAGCGACUCUUUUUAGGGGAAGGUGUGGUGUAAAGGAUGUUCCGCCUAAUAAUUUACUUUCGUUAUGUUGGUGUAUAUCUGGUUUAAUAUUAUCGUUGAGUAAGUGAGUUUGUGUAGUUUUAUUUAAGCCAAGUCUAUGUGCUGCUUAUGAAAGUAUUCAUGCGUUACAUUUAUAAGGUUUUGGUUGUAAUACUAAAAUAUUUAGGACUUAAAAGUAAUGUU
rnacentral:rRNA from 1 species